GGACUACCGGGGUAUCUAAUCCUGUUCGCUCCCCACGCUUUCGCUCCUCAGCGUCAGAACAGGCCCAGAGAACCGCCUUCGCCACCGGUGUUCCUCCCGAUAUCUGCGCAUUUCACCGCUACACCGGGAAUUCCAUUCUCCCCUGCCUGCCUCCAGCCAGCCCGUAUCCACUGCACGCCCGGGGUUAAGCCCCGGGAUUUCACAGCAGACGCGACAGGCCGCCUACGAGCUCUUUACGCCCAAUAAUUCCGGACAACGCUUGCGCCCUACGUAUUACCGCGGCUGCUGGCAC
rnacentral:rRNA from 1 species